rnacentral:rRNA from 1 species
GCUUCGGUAACUGACCUAGCGGCGGACGGGUGAGUAAUACUUAGGAAUCUGCCUAUUAAUGGGGGACAACAUCUCGAAAGGGAUGCUAAUACCGCAUACGCCCUACGGGGGAAAGCAGGGGAUCACUUGUGACCUUGCGUUAAUAGAUGAGCCUAAGUCGGAUUAGCUAGUUGGUGGGGUAAAGGCCUACCAAGGCGACGAUCUGUAGCGGGUCUGAGAGGAUGAUCCGCCACACUGGGACUGAGACACGGCCCAGACUCCUACGGGAGGCAGCAGUGGGGAAUAUUGGACAAUGGGGGGAACCCUGAUCCAGCCAUGCCGCGUGUGUGAAGAAGGCCUUAUGGUUGUAAAGCACUUUAAGCGAGGAGGAGGCUCUCUUGGUUAAUACCCAAGAUGAGUGGACGUUACUCGCAGAAUAAGCACCGGCUAACUCUGUGCCGGCAGCCGCGGUAAUACAGAGGGUGCGAGCGUUAAUCGGAUUUACUGGGCGUAAAGCGUGCGUAGGCGGCUUUUUAAGUCGGAUGUGAAAUCCCCGAGCUUAACUUGGGAAUUGCAUUCGAUANUGGGAAGCUAGAGUACGGGAGAGGAUGGUAGAAUUCCAGGUGUAGCGGUGAAAUGCGUAGAGAUCUGGAGGAAUACCGAUGGCGAAGGCAGCCAUCUGGCCUAAUACUGACGCUGAGGUACGAAAGCAUGGGGAGCAAACAGGAUUAGAUACCCUGGUAGUCCAUGCCGUAAACGAUGUCUAUUAGCCGUUGGGGCCUUUGAGGCUUUAGUGGCGCAGCUAACGCGAUAAGUAGACCGCCUGGGGAGUACGGUCGCAAGACUAAAACUCAAAUGAAUUGACGGGGGCCCGCACAAGCGGUGGAGCAUGUGGUUUAAUUCGAUGCAACGCGAAGAACCUUACCUGGUCUUGACAUAGUAAGAACUUUCCAGAGAUGGAUUGGUGCCUUCGGGAACUUACAUACAGGUGCUGCAUGGCUGUCGUCAGCUCGUGUCGUGAGAUGUUGGGUUAAGUCCCGCAACGAGCGCAACCCUUUUCCUUAUUUGCCAGCACUUCGGGUGGGAACUUUAAGGAUACUGCCAGUGACAAACUGGAGGAAGGCGGGGACGACGUCAAGUCAUCAUGGCCCUUACGACCAGGGCUACACACGUGCUACAAUGGUCGGUACAAAGGGUUGCUACCUAGCGAUAGGAUGCUAAUCUCAAAAAGCCGAUCGUAGUCCGGAUUGGAGUCUGCAACUCG